rnacentral:rRNA from 1 species
GACGAACGCUGGCGGCGUGCUUAACACAUGCAAGUCGAACGGUAAGGCCCUUCGGGGUACACGAGUGGCGAACGGGUGAGUAACACGUGGGUGAUCUGCCCUGCGCUUCGGGAUAAGCCUGGGAAACUGGGUCUAAUACCGGAUAGGACUCCGGACUGCAUGGUCUGGGGUGGAAAGCUUUUGCGGUGUGGGAUGGGCCCGAGGCCUAUCAGCUUGUUGGUUGGGUGAUGGCCUACCAAGGCGACGACGGGUAGCCGGCCUGAGAGGGUGACCGGCCACACUGGGACUGAGAUACGGCCCAGACUCCUACGGGAGGAAGCAGUGGGGAAUAUUGCACAAUGGGCGCAAGCCUGAUGCAGCGACGCCGCGUGAGGGAUGACGGCCUUCGGGUUGUAAACCUCUUUCAGCAUCGACGAAGCGAAAGUGACGGUAGGUGCAGAAGAAGGACCGGCCAACUACGUGCCAGCCGCCGCAGUAA